rnacentral:rRNA from 1 species
AUUGAACGCUGGCGGCAUGCCUUACACAUGCAAGUCGAACGGUAGCGGGCCUUCGGGUGCCGACGAGUGGCGAACGGGUGAGUAAUGCAUCGGAACGUACCUUUCAGUGGGGGAUAACGUAGCGAAAGUUGCGCUAAUACCGCAUAUUCUGUGAGCAGGAAAGCAGGGGAUCGCAAGACCUUGCGCUGAUUGAGCGGCCGAUAUCAGAUUAGCUAGUUGGUGAGGUAAAGGCUCACCAAGGCGACGAUCUGUAGCGGGUCUGAGAGGAUGAUCCGCCACACUGGAACUGAGACACGGUCCAGACUCCUACGGGAGGCAGCAGUGGGGAAUUUUGGACAAUGGGGGCAACCCUGAUCCAGCCAUGCCGCGUGAGUGAAGAAGGCCUUCGGGUUGUAAAGCUCUUUCGGCCGGGAAGAAAUCGUAUCAGCUAAUACCUGGUGCGGAUGACGGUACCGGCAUAAGAAGCACCGGCUAACUACGUGCCAGCAGCCGCAGUAAUAC